GAGCAGUGAGGAAUAUUGGACAAUGGGCGCAAGCCUGAUCCAGCCAUGCCGCGUGCAGGAUGACGGUCCUAUGGAUUGUAAACUGCUUUUGUACAGGAAGAAACACUCCCUCGUGAGGGAGCUUGACGGUACUGUAAGAAUAAGGAUCGGCUAACUCCGUGCCAGCAGCCGCGGUAAUACGGAGGAUCCAAGCGUUAUCCGGAAUCAUUGGGUUUAAAGGGUCCGUAGGCGGUUUAGUAAGUCAGUGGUGAAAGCCCAUCGCUCAACGGUGGAACGGCCAUUGAUACUGCUAGACUUGAAUUAUUAGGAAGUAACUAGAAUAUGUAGUGUAGCGGUGAAAUGCUUAGAGAUUACAUGGAAUACCAAUUGCGAAGGCAGGUUACUACUAAUUGAUUGACGCUGAUGGACGAAAGCGUGGGUAGCGAACAGGAUUAGAUACCCUGGUAGUCCACGCCGUAAACGAUGGAUACUAGCUGUUGGAGCAAUUUCAGUGGUAAGCGAAAGUGAUAAUAUCCCCUGCUAUACGUGG
rnacentral:rRNA from 1 species